ACGAGGAAAAUAAAUGGUGUGUAUAGUGAAUAAAAAUAAGUGGUGCGGUACAGUCGACAC
rnacentral:misc_RNA from 1 species